AGUGACAGUCCCAUGUUGUGGUACUGCUGGGCUUUUUAACCAUUCACGGUUUCCACUGAACUCUCCAUCUCCGUCAUUAUCAUUUUCAGCAGGGACUUCAACAACAUGGCAAAGUCGCUGAUGAAAGAAAAUAAAAGAAUCGCUCUCCCACCUCUAUUUUCACCUCAAAAAGAGUGCUAAAAAGCUGUUUUCCUGGAACCUCAGUGGGCAAUUUCUAUGAAUUCUAAGAAAACACUCUGCUCUUGGGGGAGUUUUUGUGCUCCUGGUGAGUUACAGAAUUAGUGACAUAACAAACUAUUCAGACUGACCUUGGAUGUGACUCUCAACAGUGGCAUACACCAGUGGACUGACAACACAGACUCACAAGCCUCUCAUGUUAGAAAUGAAACUGUGUAAAGUCUCGUCAACCCCAAGAUGAGUGAUUUCGGCAUGACUGAGAGGACUGUUUUGGUGGGGGUAGUCGUGAUGAUGUCUGAGUUCACAUGUAGGCCACUGCUUCAUUAGGGAUGCCGUGCUGUAUAAUUCUCCGCCUCCACCACUGGAUGUGUGCGAGUGCAACAGUUUUCAGCCCGCUGGAAGACAAUUAUUCGGCAUGUCUUGCAGAGAUUUCCGUGCUGAGUAUCCUCAGAGUGGCACAGAAUGCAGAGGGAGCUUCAAGCCACAGCGGGCUCACAGGUCUGCCUUCAGCAAGUGAAUGAAGUGGCACGUCUCCAGCACAUUCCCCUCCACAAUAAAACACACCUGGUCACAUUGACAUUAAUUUUGGCACACAUUGACAGUAAAUACCAGGUAAAUGCAUUCAUGCUUCUUUUUCCAUGUUCCAUAGACAACAUGUAGAGUCUUUUUCUUUACCCCCCUUUCUGAGCCUGGACAUAUAACAGUGUAGAUUUACUUCUCAUUCUAAAAUGGGCAAUGAGCAUCAACAGAUCUGUCACAGUCAAAGUCAUUACCCUCAGAGCUGCACUCUAUAAUAUGCCAUACAGGCUAACUAGAGGUACAGCAUGAUUGUAUAUGGCUGCAGUCUUCUUUGCUUCGAUGACUAUGAGAAUCUUUACUGAAUGCUUCUCCACUCUCACAAGAUUCUUUAUCCUGUUACUGUCUCCUUCACUCUAGUGCAAUGCCAUGCCUAGACCUCAGCACAAAUUAACCAAGUCCGCAGUUCCUAUUUCUGUAAGCAGAAUGAUCUCACAUUAGAUUACAUGUAAGUAGUACUCAACUUUGCUGGACUCCCUCUUAUGAGGUCUCACUGUGUCAGGAAUGUUCAUAAAUUCAGUUAUAAAAAUAACUAAAUAUUGUUCUAUUGUAUUUAAAGUUGAUUUUUCAA